GGAGCGCGGGAGGACCGGCCUGCCUGUGCCCGGCAAAGGGGGCCCUUCCGAGGCGGGCUCCCUUCCCCGCCGCUCCCGUAAGCGCGGGAGCCAGAGGACCCCAGACCCGCCGCGGCCCACCCCAAGCCCCGAUCAAGUCCUGCAGCGCGGGAGGGACCCCUGCAGGCGCGGGGCCAGACGGGCGACAAAGCGGCGGACUGCGAGGGCCCUGAGGAAGCCGGCGGCGCGGGGUCAGGAGCAACCUGCUAUUCGUAGGGUCAGGAGCCCACGCGUCCCCACUGCGGAGGGCGGGGUCGCAGCCAGGCCUCCCCGUUUCUAGCUGUGCGGCCUGGGGCGAGGUGCUUGACCUCUCGGGGCCUCAGUUUCCUUCUCUAUGAAGCGGAGCUGAUCGGCCGCGUCCCGGGGCUGCUGUGACAGUCCAAGGCGAGAACAGCAGCUCCGCGCCGCCCCUGGUGCUGGAGAACCGCUGGGGCCUCGGGAGAGGGCGCGGCGCGGCGGAGCGGCCCUGGCAGCCGGAGGGCGCGUGUGGCCAGGGCCGAUCCUGCACUGCCCUCUGCGGGAUGGCCCGGCCCAGUCCUCGACCCCCAGCACCUCCGCCGCCCGGCCUGGCCACCACCUCCGCUCCACGCGCCCAGGCCGCUCCCGUCGCGGGUCUCGGAGAUUCUCCCGCGCCCAGGGGUGUCCCGCAGCCCCGGGCCUCAGCACCCAGCGCUCCCUUCUCCACGACGACAAUGAGGCGGACCCUCCCCAGCGCCCUCCAGAGCUGUCGCAUCCCGGGAGGUCAGGGCGAGUGUUGUUUGCAUUUCACAGAGCAGGAAGCUUAGGCACAGACAGCGGCUCCCCGACCCUCGCUCGGCCUCUGCUGAGCAGGGAACGGCCUGAACGCGUCCGGCCAAGCGCCGCCUCCGGCCUCUGCCCGCGGCCCGGCGCGCCCUCCUCCCCAGCGCGCCCCUAUCCUGCACGCAUCCGCGGCCCCGGGCCCUUUCCGCAGCCCCACGCGGUCUCCUCCCGGGUUAAAUCUAUCCACUCGCGCGUUCCUUGGCAGCCGUGAUCACAGGCGUGACCACGGUCCCCAAGCCCUCGCGCCUCCGUCCACGCUAUUGCGGCCGCCCCUGCGCGCCUGUCCCCUCCCUGUCCCCUCCUUCCAGCUCUGGAAACAGCAGCACCGGAAGCCCCCUGCCCCAGACUCACUGCCCACCCCCGGCCGAGCUGGCUGCCAGCCGAGCCCCUUGGAUCUCUGCGCCCCCCCGGGCCCCCCACCACUCCACAGCCCUGCGUGUCUCUGCUCUUUCUCAAAGUAAAGCCCUUCAAGUGCCAUCCACUUGCGUCUCCCAUUGGGAUCCCCCUUCUCCCACCCCACAGCCCCUCCUCUGAAGCCUUUCAUGUCCCUCAGUCUGGCUGCGACUCCUCCUUCUCCUGCCCUCCUGCUGGGUUCCCUGCCUUCCCCACUGGCGGCUUCUCCCCUGUGCUCUCCACCGGGUUUCUCUCUUCUACAUUCCCUGGAAACCCAUCCAGUUCUUCAGACACAAUAAUUCUCCUAUGACCCCCAAAUAUGUGCAGCCUGGACGGUGCCCUGAGCUCCAGACUCCUACAUCCAACUCCAGGCCAAGCCGGAUGCCUCGCCUGGCACCCGCCCCAGCCCAGACCUGUCCCCGCCCGCAACUUCCCAAACUCAGAAAAUGACAACUCCUUUCCUCCCUUUUCUCCCCACGCAAACUUUACACUUGUCCCUGACUCCCCUCUUUCUCUCCAGUCUCACGUUUAUUCCGUCAGAAAAUCCCAUGGCUCUCCCUUCCAGACAUGGCCAGAACCCGGCCUCCCGGGCUAAGCCAAGGCAAGCUGCCUUUGCUCUUCCUGAUGGUCACGGCUGCACCUUCCCUGGGCUCCCUGCCCCUGGUGUGGCCACCAUAAGUCCCCACCCAUCAUCCUUUCUGAACCUAAGUCAAAUCACAUCAUUCUUCUGCCAAAACCCUCCAAAGACUCUCAGCUUGCUCAGCGCACAGCCCGGUGCUCCUGGAGCCCACAGAAGGGGCACUGCCCUGGCUUCCCCUUCUGCCGCCGCGGCCGCUGAGGUGCUCCUCACUCAGACAAAGCUUCCUCCUGCUUCAGGCCCAAGGCACCAGAAGCUUCCUUCACCCGGACGCUCCUCCCUCAGACAUCUGCCACCUCAUUCCCACACCUCCUCCCAGUCUGCUAAAAUGUCACCUUCUCCAUGAAAUUGCACCUGCAGCCUCCUUCCUGCAGUGGCCUGUCUCCCCUGCCCUGCCUCCCGGUUGUCUUGGACUUGCAGCCAUCUGGCUGGCCCAGGGUCUAUUAAAUGCACUAUCUGGCUCACAAGGGUAGUAUGUGGGUCCCUUUGCUCACCACUGCAUCCCUGUGCCUUGGGCAGCCCUGGCACAUGCCAGGUGCCUGGCAAGCAGCUGCUGAGUGAAUAGCACAUGGACGGCCCCGUGCUCCGUUCUCAGAAGCAGGAGUUGCAACAAGGUGGUCCCAGGGGCGAGUCUUCGUCAGUCCCAGGGCACUCCAGCCUUCCACUCCCACUGCAUUUCAUCCAGGGCCGGAGCGGGUGGUCCUGACCUCAGCGCCCUGGAUGGCCAGAGGGUCAGCAUCAAAGCCGGAUUAGCUCCCCAGCUUAGCCCUGGCUGCCACAUUCUUGUGACAGUUGUAGAACUGGAGAGCAUCGGCGGGCCCAGUCUCAGCCUUGGACUCGGAGCUCUGGGAGUCCCUGCUACCACACAUGCUCACACUCACACGUGCACACUUGCGCGCGCACACACACACACACACACACUUGCUAGUGCUGCCACCGGUUAUGGAGCCGGGGUCCUCAACUUUGCUAACAACUCCUUGCAGCCCAACAGGAGACUGAACCCUGGGCGGACCCUUCCUGUCAAGACCCUCUUGUGUAGCAUCUCAUUUGCAGGAAGGAGGACCUUGCCUGCCCAGAGGGCAACACGGCUUGCAGCCCCUGCUGCUGCCCACCCCAAGGGCAGGGCUGGCUCCACUGUGCCUGCUCAGCCAUGGUGAGGGAGAGUUCCUCCUCCCAGACAAGCACCAGCCUCUCCCAAAUAGAAAGGCUACAAGCGACCCUACUGGUCACCAUGUAGACCAAACAAGGUAACCCUGGGAAUGCUCAGAGCAUAGUGGCUCUCAGGGACCAGGGUGGUAAUGACCAUGGCUGUAGUUAGCAUAAUUCCAAGCUUGGCUUGAUGCAGCUUGAAUCACAAUCAACCCCUCAACUGGCUCUUAUUUUGUUUUGCCCUCACCUGGGGAAAUUUGUUCUCCCCCUUCUUCCUGGCGCGUGGCACCUUUGUCAGUCUCUUUCUCCAGUUCAAAGGGAAACUGCUCUCUGAACAGCAAUCAGAACCACAAGCCAGGGGUUCCAGGCUCUCUCAGCCUUGGCAUCGCAGAGAUGGGGAACACCAGGCUUUUCGUCUGCAUGAACAAAGCCGUGGGCAUCCCACCAGGAGGUUGCGUCUGGCUUGCUUGCCUCUGUCCAGGGAACCUGGCCAGCCCUGGUACCUAGUAACCUGUGUCAAAUCACAUUUUAUUCUCUUUCUGUAAGAAUUAUUGUCUGCAGUUUUCCCCAUCACUACCACCACCAAUCCAUUAUCCCUUCGGUGGAGUUGUAGUCAGGAGAGGGCUGACAUUUGUCUGGCUUUGUGUGGCGGUCACGCGCCUUGCAAGUAGGAGGUGGCCAAUCCUUGAUUUAAAACGAGAGAGCACUUCUGCUUCUGGCCAAAAUGGAGUAACAGGCUUCUUUACCACACCUGCAGCAACUGAAAUAAUCAGACAGAAUACAUGAGACAGUGGCUUCCAAGACCCCGACAUCAGGCAAAAUUAAAUGCAGUGAUCCCAGAGAGAAAGGAAACAAGCAAGGAUCCCUUCUCUGGACAUUGAGGCUCCUUGGAGGAGAGCAGGUGUCUGGUCCGCAGGCAGAUGUCUGAUGCGAGGGACCCACGGUAACUCCACCCUGCAGACCGGGCCACAGAGGCAGCUUCUCCGGGGCCGCUUGGCUCUGAGGAGUGGGGUGACCAGAAGAUUCUGGGUCUACUGGAUUUUGAAAAAAGGCAGACAGCAGAGUGAGACGGAGACAGUCUGGAGAGCCAGCCAGCAGAACUCUGCACAGCUGUAUUCUCCACCUCCCACCUUGCGCCCUGCUGUCCCCGGGGUCGUGGACCAGCAGAGGGUGGGCAGGAGACCGCAUUCACAGUGUGGCUCCUCACUGUCAUCCCAGAGUCUCCCCUCACGAGCACCCCGGCUGCAGGGUGUAACCUGAGGCCCUAGCAGGGCCCAUGGAGCUUCUGCUGCUUUUCCCCGGGGGCCCUGAUGUGACAUUUCUCGUCCAGGAAGAGGAUGGAAGGUGAGGUCCCUCUCCACACUGCACCUGCCACCCUGGGGCUCCCCACCCACCUGCGCAGGAGGGAGGAGCAGGGGACACCCUUGGGAGGGCGUUUCCUUUAAAAACAUCAGACCACGAACCAGGGCCCAAUGGGGCGGCCCAGAGGCAGUGGAAGGGAAAGCGGAGCUCGAUCUGGGUUUCGGCCCCAGCAAGUCCCCUCCCCCGGUUGACCCAAAUUUCCCACUAUAAAGUGAAGGCGGGAGCUGGACUCCAGCUCGCGGAGGAAAUCCGGCCGCCGCGCAGCGGGCUGAGGUGGAAGGUGUCAUCGGUCAUCCUCGUCAUCUUGAUAUUCACCUGGGACCCUUGUGGGAACCUCUUUCCCUAGUUUGCCACCAGCUCUGCCUCUCCCUCACCCACCUGUGACCCAAGCACAUUCUCGUGACCUCUCUGAGCCUCAGUUUCCUUAUCUGUCAAGUCGAGAUCACAGCACUGACCUCCAGGGCUCACUGGGAAGCGGGGAUGAGGUGGUGCGCAUUGCAGUGACUGGCACCGGCUGUGAGCUCAGAACACGGCGGCUGGAGCUAUCCGCCAGCAACUCUUAAGCCAAAGCCCUCACCGGGCUGCCUGCCAGCUGUCAGAGACCAAGCUCCAGGUGACCCCUCCACCGAGAGCAGUUCCCCCUUCCCCCUUCUGAGCGCCAGGCAGGUCCACAGCCGCCCUGCUCCGGAGUGGGUCCCAGGUGGCAGGCGGGGGUAGAGAGGAUUCAGGGUGCUGCCUUCUGUCCUUCACACCCUGCAAGGGGCCCCUUCCAAUCAGAAGCUGUUUCCAUGGCAACCCUGCUGGGCCCCAUCCUCCCCUUUGCAGCCAAAGACUCCACCUCGGGCCGGCCUCGCCACUGUCCCUCCUUGAAGGCAUGAUUGGUCUCUUCUCCCCUGUGAGUAUGUCCAACACGUUUGAACAGAGUCGCUUCUCACAGCCCAUCCUCAAAGCCAGCACCGGGGCCCAACACCCCGCCCCCCACACGCCGCCCCUCUCUCAGCUGUGGCCCCGCCUGCCCAGCAGGGCAGAUUGCCUGGCAAGCAGUCAGCUUGUAAUUAGCACUCAUUAGCGCUCCAGCAAUCUGCAGACAAGUCACCUGUGGCCAAGUCCCUUCUGAACGAUUGCAAUGAUUCCUGUGGGUUUCAAACAUCAAAGGAUGCGGAGCUGAGCGAGAGGCAGGCAGCGCCCUUUGUGCUUAUUUCUGCCCCUUCCCGCUCUUGCACCCCAGAAAGUUCUCAUCUGUGGAAUGGGCCGGGGCAGGGAGGGUGGCUGAGGUAGCACUCGCAGCGGGCCUGGGGAGCUGAAUGGGGCUGGGUCCUGGCCUCCCAGCCAGCUGCCCUUCCUGAGAAAGCAUCUCUGCAAACACGGUGUGUCCACGAGGUCCCUGCAGGAGGAUACUCACAUCCAGCCAGAAGAUGAGGCUGCUGUGUCGGUGGCCAAGGCCUUCCAGUGCCGGGGCUGGAGCGCCUGCAGGUGGUGUAAGCAGAGGGGGCGUCGUCCUCGGGGAGCUCACAGCCUGGGGAGAGGCAGAGGGGUCGUGGGGUAGACCCAGGGCCCAGCACUUCUAGAAGAGAGAGCAGAGGGGCUGGGGAGAUGGCCCGUGGUCCCCACACAGGGAGAGAAGAGCAUGUGCAAAGUCCCAAAGCAGAGGGCAUCUGGGCCAUGACGACCACUAGCCAGUCAGACAGGGUGGCCUCCCCACAGCUGACACCCUCCGGCCUUCCCUCCCUCCUUCCCACACACUCCCUCCCUCCUUCCCUCCCCCUUCCCUCCCUCCUUCCCUCCCUCCCCCUUCCCUCCCUGCUUCCCUCCCUCCUCCCUACACACUUCUGCCCUUCCUUCCUUCCUUCCUUCUUUCCUCCCUCCUUCCCUCCCUCCCUUCCUCCCUCCCUCCCUUCCCCCCUCCCUCCCUCCCUCCCUCCCUCCCUUCCCUCCCUUCCCCCCCUUCCUCCCUCCCUCCCUCCUUGCUAUCAUCUAGUGGGCAAAAAAUAGACUCUACUUUAGAGUCAAAGACUCUUAGACCUCAAAUGCUCUGGUCCUGGGCCCAACUGGCCCAGUUCCCAAAUGGAAGAACUCAGCAACAGGGAUUUGCAUGAAUCGUGCUGCGCCCGACGGAACCGUGGCCAAGGCCCAGACCCCUGGACCCCUGCUCUGUGACCUUCCCAUGACACAAAGCUGCUGUGGCCUCCACCCCGGCCAGGGUCAGAGAGUGCUCUAAAAAAAAAAAAAAGCCUGCCACAUUUCUCUUCUGGUUUCAAAUUGAUGAUCCGAGAAUAAUUGGCUCUAUAGGCAGAGUAGGUCCCUGUACACAAUGCAACCUUCAGAGAUAGGACAGGACGUGUUGGCAAAUCCUCCAUCCUCUUCUGAAGGAUGCUCGGGGCAGAGGAGAGGCUCGGACAUCAGGACAGGCUCUGGGAAGGCUCUUGGUGUCUCCCUGUUGGGGGACCUCUGCUGUGACUUGGGGGACAUGUGCAGCCAUAUAAGGAGGGAAGGUCAGCUGCCUCCACCGCGACCACCUCCUGACCGUGCAGUGACUGCUUAAGAGUGACAGCUCCUCAGGCCCUGGGAACAGCAGGGAGGGGGCUGGUGACAGAGGCUUUGGGGAAAGCAGGCCCCAUGGCCUCCAGCCUGCCUGGACUCAGCCACCUGCGGUGACCUCCUAGUGUCCAGGCCCCAGGCCACCCAGGGGCUGCUCCUGGCAGCUCUGGGCAGUGGUCAAGUCCUUGAGGAAAAGCAGAAAAGGUGGCCGGGCUGAGGGCUCCCAGGACUGUGGGGCGGCUGAACCCUGCCCAGGGUCCGUCUGCUGGCCAGCCGCCUCCGAGGAUGGUCUGGCUUUCCCAUCACGGUUUGUCAGGAAUGGGGUCGGGGCUGGGGCGCAUGUAUUCGUAUUCCUCAGAUAUCCCUGUUGCCCGGUCUGCCUUGGUGCGGGAGAAGACGUUCCGGCUGCACCCCAUGAGUUCCGGGGGGGGAAGGAAGGAGAACGCACGGGAACCAUCGAUCCCAUUGAUUUGCCGGGGUUGUGGGAAGACGCUUCUCUCCUGCGGGAUUUUUUAAAGCGCAGUUUGGCUGGGCUUGGGUUUCUUCUUCACUAAUUGAAUUCCAUUUGUGCCGGAGAGAACAGAAAAAAUACUGUUUGCCUCCGCCCGGCCCCUCCCCCUGCGGCGAGGAGGAGAAGGGCAAGUGCGGAUAGAGGGGACGCCUUUCAGGCCGUGUGAACGAGCCCCAGCCGAGGUGACCCGAGCGGCCACGGCUCGGCACAGGGCAGGUGUCCCCGGGACAAUACCCCCCGGCCCCCCGGGCAGCCUUCAGGGGCAGUGGCAGGCACUGGGGAUGGGAGGGCCAGGGACCACCCCGGGGAGAGAAUGCUGGAGCCAGCCGGGGUCCUGGGGGCAGGGCCUGAAGGAAGUCCCCGGGCACCCGGGCCCUGAUGAAUGCAGCCGCGGUUGAGAAUCGCCCGCGUGAAUCCCUAUUCAGAGCGGAGCCCUUGUUCUCGCCGAGUCUGCUGCCUGGGCAGCCGCAGAUGUCCCAGAGCAGAGUGGACGAUUCUGCAGACACAAAGGCGCUUGUGGGGAGCUGGUGCUGCGUUUUGUUUGGGUUUGGGUUUUUCGUGCCUAAGCCAGUGAAGCGAGCGAGGCCUUCGCUUAAACUUGACCUCCUGGUGGCUCCCAGCACCCCGCUGGCCAGCCGGUCCCAGGAGGGCUGCAGUAAGUCAGUGAGUCCGGGCCACUUGGAUGCCACCCGGCCCCAGCGCCCCCGUGGCAGCUGUUCCCCGGAGAGCAGUGGUGACCAUGGGAAUGAUCGUGACAGUGACAGUGCCCUCCCUGCUCACGGGGUGUCUUCUCAUUUCCAUGUUAAAGAUGAAGAAACUGAGGCCGGGAGGCUAAGCGGCUUGCAUCUAUGUUCACACAGCCCCACAAUGUCCGGAGUGGGUGCUUCCCGCCCAGGCUGUCUCUUGGACGUCCCUGUGCCCAGCCCUGUCCUGGUGUUCCUUGAGGGGAGGAGGCUGGGGCUACCCAGCUUCUGGGGCUCAGGGCCUUUCCAUCCUUGGGGACCGCCUGUGGCUGGCAGACACCUCCCAUCUCAGGGUCAGACCUCCCUGCUGUCUAUCACGCCUUAUGGGGGAUAUGCCCAUUGAAGACUUUUUUUUUUUUUGGAGACGGAGUCUCACUCUGUCACCCAGGCUGGAGUACAGUGGGAUGAUCUCAACUCACUGCAACCUCUGCCACCUGGGCUCAAGCAAGUCUCCUGCCUCAGCCUCCUGAGUAGCUGGGAUUACAGGCACCUGCCACUGCGCCUGGCUAAUUUUGUAGUUUCUAGUAGAGAUGGGGUUUCACCAUCUUGGCCAUGCUGGUCUUGAACUCCUGACCUCGUGAUCCACCCACCUCGGCCUCCCAAAGUGCUGGGAUUACAGGCGUGAGUCACCGCGCCCGGCCCCAUUGAAGACUUUAUCUGUGACCGACAUCGUUGAGGAUGGGAGGUUGAACCCCAGUGGACAGUCACUUCCACCCUGGCUCUUACGGCUGCACGAGCCAGGCUGAGAAUUCUGCAGGUGCCGUUGUCUGUGGUCUGACUGUGACCUGAACCUGGCGGCUGGCAAGCUCCGUGUGUCUCUGAGGCGUCUUGGCUCUGCUGCACCCAGAGGUUUAAUGAACGUGAGAAAACAUCGCACGGGAGGUGCUGGCAAACCCCCUCCCGACAAGGGCCACAGUCCAGGUCCUGGGAGGGGCUCACGCUGCUCAGCCGCCAAAGAUAUGGGGAAGCCCCCCAGACCAGUGACCCAUUAUCCAUAUCCAUGGGGGCCUAAGGAGAAGGGGACUUGCCUUCAGGUAGCUCCCAGUCCGGUGAUCCCCCUGCCGACAAGCGCCCAUGUGUGUAAAGUGGGGUAAUGGAGGUGGCUCAGGGAGCACUGACCGUGAAACAGGCGAAGUGGCCACUGCCUGAGCGUUCCACAUUGUUCCAGCGCCAGCCUGACGGGCAUUUGUGGGCAUUGGGCGGAGCACCUAUGACAUCGACAGAACCCCAGCGCCCGCCCCAGAGGACAGCGCCGAUGGAGAGGAACCAGGGGCACAGAGACGUUAACUGACUUUCUCCCAGUCACACAGCAGUAGAGGAAAGGGCCUAGGCAACCCCACCCUCCCAGGCUCCCAGCAGUAGAUGGAUGAAGGAUGAGGGGACACCUAGGGAGGAGGGCAGGGAUGGGAGGACCAGGAGCUAAGGCUGGGAGCCGGGAGGAAGGCGGCCGGCACUCAGGUGAGUGUGGGGCCAAUGCCAGGCCCUGGGCGUGGAACCGGGGAGUUCGUGUUUCAGCUCCACAGCCAGGACUCACUUUGCAGGGAGAGCGAGGGGGAGGGUCACCUGCUCCCUGAAGCCAGGUGUGGGCAGUCAGGCUGGCUUCCUCUCCAGGCCACCUCACCCCACUUCCACCCCACCACUUCCACCCCACAGGAGGAGCGUGGGCAGGCAAGUCCCGGCAAGGGUGCUGCUUUCCUGGGCCUGAGCCACGCCCAGUGGCCGUGGGGCUGGGGAGAUGGCAGAUGUGGGGGAGAAUGUUGAGGCUGGUGAUCGGUGAUAGCUGCGGCCCAGCCAGUUUGGGUACUGCAUGCGCCAUCCAAAGCCCCGAGGCCCGGGAGACGAGCCAGCCCAGUCAGAUCGCCAGUGGAGAGCCAGGCCGGGCAGCUGGGAGACCUGGCUGCAACGGUGCCUCUGGGCUCCAGGGGUAGGUUUGGCCUCAGCGGUCCUGACUCAGGAUGCCCCGGCCUUCUCCACGGGUGCCCAGCACAGGGGCUCCUCCCAGGGCCAACACUGCACUCUCCAAGGAUUUACUCUACCCUCUGGAGUGGGACCCCUGGCAUCACCCGUGCCACCCCACCUUCCUUGCUGGGCCAGCCUCCACACGGCCGAGAGUGAUGAUGUGGUUGAUAAUCACCACCACCAUUAUCGAGCCCAUUUCACAUGCUGAGCCCUGAGCCCCAGACACACAUAGCCUGGGCUCGUCCCCUCCUGCCCUGCUCCCGCGCUGUUCGUACCCUCAAGGUCCCUGUGUGUGUUUGCUGCAAGCGGCAUUUGGGUAGGUUCUUUGCAUCUGUUUUCUCUACUCCUUGCAACAGCCUUGUCCCCAUUUUACAGAUGAUAAAUUGAGCCACGCAGAGGAGAGGUAACUCCCUCCUGUCCUCAGAGUGUCCCGAAGACCCUCCUUUGCCUGGUGAGUGACAUACUAGAGCCCGCACGGUGACAGCUCAGGUAUGUGGCACCCCUCGGACCCACCCCUCCCUGGGUGGAGUGGCCCAGCUGUGGUGGGCACUUCCUCACCCAGCCGUGGGCACAGGCCAGACCCUGAGCCCAGCGGCCCUGUAAUUUCAGAUGUAGCUGGGCAUGUGUGUGUUAUUGGGUGAUACUUAAAUCCUAACCUUUUCAAAAGCAAACCCAAGUAAGCACAUAUUGGAGAACCAUAAUUCCAAGCUUGGAGGCCUCCCUCAAGGCGAUGGGGAGUGUGGCAUCGUGACCGCUAACCCGGUCCCUCCGCGGCCUUGGGUUUAAAAGCGUCUGUGUCCAGCCGGGAGGUGAACUCCUGACAGCAACGCCCGUCCAGCCCACACCUCUGCCUGGCAGUGUGCAGCAGGACCCCUGAAGCCCAAGUCGAGAGCAGCGCCUGGUCUCCACCCGAGACUGGGUGGCGGAGAAGCGCUGCCUCUGACCUCAGUGAGCAUGGAGAGGCGGUGACAGGUUUGGACAGUAGAGAUUUCAGCAAUUUCUGGAAGGGUGAGUUGGUGCCGCACAACCUUGCCUGGGAACUGGGACACACGGCCUGGACCAAGCUGUGGUGACAGGGACACCCCUCCCAAAGCCUGGGUUGCCUGCUCAGCCUCACUCCCCCCAGCCUGCAUGUGGCCGCCCCUCCCCUCAGCGAAUUUGUCUGUUUCCCCAUCCACCUGCUCCCAGGCUUCAUUUGAGGCUGGGUCCGAGCACCGCCCCGCAGCCUUCCUGGCCCCAGCCCUUCACAGGAGCCUGCUCGGGGAGCCUCGUGGGCGUCAAUGGAGCUGGACGGGGGGCUUCCUCUGCACCCCCAGUGCAGAGGUGGGGAGCCCUGCCAGGGGUGACUGCCUCCCACUACCCCAUGGGGCCCACAGAGUUGGCCAAGAUGGCCCCCUUCCCACGGGGGCUGAGCAGGGCCCCACUCCCCAGGGACGGGGACUUGUGGGACCAGGAGACACAGCCCAGGGCAGUGGCCGAAGCCACUGCCCCUCCCACCACACCCUCUCGGGCUUGCACUGGUCCCCAGCCCCAUGCCUCCCCUGCUCUUCAUGUUCAUCUUCAGGGGACCCCCUCUGUCCCUGACUGUCCCCUCGCCACCACAGCCUGUCUCAUCCAUCUCAGCUCACCACUCCCACCGCCCAGGGGGUCUCCCUGCCAGUCUGAACAGGACCUGCCUCGGAAGCAGAAUCGGAUUCCGCUGACUGGGACAACGUCACGUGACAGCGAGUCCAGCGCCCGGGGCCUGGGAGAACAAAGGCGGCUGACCCGUCACAGGAGCUGCACGGCAAUGCAUCUGAGACCAUGCGGUGUCACCUUCACAGAAGUGCUCUGGCACAGAGACUCCAGCCUUGCCGGCCUCUCGCCUCCCAAGCACAGAAGCCUCCAGAACGCUGCUUCAAGGACAAGCCCAGGAGACCUGCCAUGCUCAUGCGUGUCUUUGGAAACAGGUUCUCUAAAUUUUGCUUGUGGUUUGUUAAAAAAAAAAAAAAAAUCAGAAGUGUAAUCAAAGACUUCAACAAACGAAGCACCAAAACACUUCAGCUUUGAAAUGUAGAAUUGCAAUGACUGGAAACACGGCUCGCAAAGCAAAAGACAUUAAAAUUCAGUCAUCCCUACAGAAGCCGGACAGGAAUUGAUCACAUCCACUAGUGAAGGCUCAGAAAGUGACAAGAUUUCAUUUGGAAAUCGUACCUGUGUCCUUGGGAACAUCCUGAACCUUGGGAAGCAUCAGCUCAUGGAGUUCCUAUUAACUGGAUAAAUUUAUAUUCUAGAUUGAAAUGGAAUGGAAUUAAGUAGGCCCACGGUUUUGCAGCACGUACAUUUGAAGAAUCAUUAAAAAUCAUCAUAGAAACAA